rnacentral:lncRNA from 1 species
UGCACUAAGCUAGUGAUGUCACCAGCUUCUCCCCUCUCUCUCUCUCUCUCUCUCUCUCCCAGCAUCACAGCAUCCCUAUCAUAGGCAGCCAUAUUCUAUUGGACGUUGGUCAUGCGUACAGUAUAGCCAACGACACCCUUCUAAUACUAAAUGAAAUGAUAACAGCAGUUGUUCUCUGUGAUAUUUGAUGCCUAUAAAAUAAAUUCAAAGUAGAGACUUUAUUUCUUUAAAAAUGUGAUACUGAAAGUGUUGACAAAUAUGGAAUGUACUCAUUGUUUUGUCUUUAUGAAAGGAUAUAUGUUUCUUUCCAUAAUAUAGAAUAGGAAUAUUACACUUUUGCCCAUGCAAAUUAUUAGCAUAAUAUGUUUAACCAACUAUGUCUGAUUCACCAGAGCCAAAACCAUCACCUCUGCUAACUCAGGUAAGAUAUUAAUCUUAAAAAAUAAUUUCAUAAUUAGAUCUCUUAAAUAAUUGGAAAUAAACAAAGAGGUUUUUUUCAACUAUUUUAUAUUCAUUCCAAAAAGGAUUACUUCAAUACAACAAAAAAACUUUAAUGCCAAUUAUUAUGAAUAUAAGUAAAGGUAUAAUAGAGAGUAACAUGAAAAUAUCUUCCAGUUUGUUAUGUUAACCUGUGGUGUAGGCUUUUCAACUUACAAAUGAAGGUGUGUUCUGGUCUACCUGAUCAGCAUGCAAAUUUCUCAUUUCCUAUCUCAAGGUUCAGUCACACUUGGAGAAUGCAUUUAUCUCAGAUCACUUUUUCAUGCAAUGACAGGACCUUUAGGCUAUUUUUUAAGUUGUCCUUCCAGUAACCAUGACCUAUGUGCAUUCCGGACUAAGGGAUUACAUGCCAGUUGCACACCUGGCUCUCUGCCAUACUUGGUCUCAAAGGGUUGGCUGAUUACAGUCAGCUUUCAACAGGAGACAAAGCAGAUAAGAGUUUAAGAAUUAUAAAUUAAAAUGGAAAAUUUUAUUAAUUAUUUUAAAAUAUAUAAUUUGUAAUUGAAAAUAAUAAAAUUUAAUAUAGCAUAUUAGAAAAUUAUUUUUUAUGAAAAAUUUUCAUUAAUGUCUGUUAAUUAAUAAGUUUAAUAUGAAAAUUAUGUAAUUGAGUUUUUUAAGAUAUAUAUUUAUUUUUUUACCAUUAAACUAUAUAAAAUUACUCCAUAAGUGAAUCUAAUUCUUCUAACAUUUGGAAAACAUACCAUAAAUUGAUAGAAACCAGAAAAAUAGUAUCAUCACAGUAAUUGCUACAUUCUUAGAUGUCAGAAGAGAUAAGAAAACAGGGUGAUGGUGAACAGCAGGAGUCACUCCACACAAUCACAAUUCAGCAAAAACGUCAUUAUAAAGUAAAAGUUUUCAGACACCAAAUAACAAAAUGCAGCUGUAUUUUAUUGCCCUCUAGCUAGAAUUCAGCAAACUGCAUUCAUGACCACAUUUGUAAUCAGAUAAAAGUGCAAUUAUCUUAAACCCAUUAUGUAGAAGUAGAGUAGUUUCCAUUAUUUUGACAUUGUACUAAAAAAAUCUGUCAUAAUAUAAUUUCCUGUAUAUCUAUUGUUGGGGAACAAGACUAAAUAUUCACUUUCAUAAAAAUUAAAUUUAAUAUGUAAAAUAUAAAUCAACAUUUUCAAG